AUCCAGCUGACAAGUCCUAAACAGGAUGCAACGUGCGUCCUGGAU
rfam:Schistosoma curassoni strain Dakar, Senegal genome assembly, scaffold: SCTD_contig0017588